GGGAGUAUGUAGCCCCUCUUAUCAGCUGGGGCUAGACCAAUCUUUGCCCACCACCAAAAAGCCAGCUUUCUCCUGGGCCCCACAGCACACGCUCCUGGGACCUCCGAGGGGCACCCCAAGCCACAGCUCCCUCUGCUCCCCAGCCUAACAGGGCUGCCUUGAGGUGCAGGGAUCAGUGCUGUUCAGCCCAGGCUGUGAACUUCUAACCCACAGAGCAUUCUUAUUCCAUUGUGAUGAAAUCUGCAGGGUUCAACAAUUUAAUUCUUCUGUGAACACUGAACGUGUACCAGAGAAGAAAAAACAGUGGUUGGAGUUUAAGAGGGUUGCCUGGAGUCCCACAGCCACUGGUGGCUCAGAUGGACCUUAAACCCACAACAUCAGAGACAUCGAGCCAACACUCUCCUAUAAACAUUCUUAAUAAAUUAAACCCGUUCACGAGGAAUGAAGCACGAGAC
rnacentral:lncRNA from 1 species